UGUGUGAUUACUCUCCUGAUAGCAAGGUGUGAAGAUGUGCUGGAAGUCUAGAGGAAAAGGCUUGGUAGGCAGGAUUCUGGUGGACUGAAUGUUGACAACCUGUCCUAGGGUCACUGGAGUGGAGCCCUGUGUAGCAGGUGGGCCUGGCUUCCCUGCCAGAUCCUGGUAAGUGGCAAGGAGUACCUGAGAAGGGGAUAACUGGGAGUCCUGAGGAAAAAGUGCAUGGACCAUUGGUCCCAGAACUGAGGGUGUAAGCUUGCAUGGAGGGAAUGGACUCUCUUGCUGACCUUUGUCAUGCUGGUGGGGAGGGAUGACUAAGCAUGACCUCUCUGGAGGGCUGAAUUACAAGAAGAGGUGACCACUAUGGGACUGCAGUGACUCUUGGCUGCGGGUGCUAGAAAGGAGAGCCUGCUAUACUGUGCCCAGCCAUGAGGGAGUGUUCUAGGGAUGAAUGCCCCAAAGGGGCCAAACCCACCAUCGGACUAUUGAGUCCUUACAAUCCAUCUUUGCAGCGUCGUGUAGUUCGCAUUGCAAGCACAGCUGCAGGAGUCCAUGGGCCUGUGUCUGACUCUAGUCAUGUCUACGCAUCCACUGACUGUAGUCAAGUUUGCUGUGUCUAAACUUUACACUGUGAUUGCAAUUCACCAAACAACAACUCCAUGUUUGACUAUCCCUGUCUAAAUUUGCUUAGCUCAAGCUGGAAUCUGCAAAUCACUCUUCCUUGCCCACAGAAGAACCAUCACAACUCUGCCAGCCAGCAAUCUGUUGGUUCCAGGCACUAGAGAAGCUGUCAUAGGAGGAUACAUUCAAAUUGUUAGUGGCCAAGACACUGGAAUGACUUUGAAAGGACUUGAAGUUUGCUGACCUCUUGCCUGGAAUAUUUUCAUGUUCCCUGCCUUCCUAGGAACACAAUUUCUGUUGGGUAUUGAACUACGCCAACAUACCACAGAUCCCACGUUCACUGGCUUUUCAAAGUUUAGAGUGGGAACCAGGGUACAGUUCCUUCAAUGAGCCGCCACUUGUCUGCUUGGGGAAGAGAGCAUCUGAUCUUUUCUCCCGACCUCCUUGAGCUCCAUGGACCUGUUCUCUGCUUUAGAAUUCAUGUCCACUGUCUGGUUACGUUCGGUCUAGUCAUUAAGAUUCUUCAGGCCUUGGAGUGGGGAGGGACAGAGAGCAAUGCUUUCUCUUGCAAAGCUGAGUAUUUUAAUAUGUAUAUAUUUUUGGUUGUGUUUGCUAGCUUUGAACAAUUGUGUGGCACUUGUCAGCCUUCUGCAGCCGCUUCUCGGGCACAUUUCUUUAUAUGCUGAGGAGCCUAGUAUGAACUACCAUAGAAAUCAGGGAGGUGAUUUAAUUUAUGUGCAUGAGAGGGGGAGAGACGGAAGCUUCUGGACCUACAGCUCUCAGUCCAUGGCUAUACUAUAAAGAGAACAUCCCAGCCUUCACUGCCCUGCUUCUGCCCUAUCAGACUGUUGGCUUUGCCUUUCAAGUGAAACAUAAAUCUGAGGUCCUUAUCACUCAUAGGUAUUAAAGAGCCCAGUGGAAUUUUUCACAAGAAUCAGAAUAAUAUUCCUAGUUGAUACCAGAGAUGUAUACCAACACUGGUAUCUCUAUAUGGUGUGUGUGUGUGUGCUUAGUUAAUAUAUAAAACGAUCUAAUGGCACAUAAGAAUAACACAUUUGUUGUGGUCUUCAUAGUUCUGUAGGUUCAAUAAAGUUAUUGUGUGCUGCAAAUGGCUUCCUGGGUGGAGUUUUUGCAACGGGUAAUCCAACGGCGUCU